GCCUGUGUGGCUCAGUGGUUGAGCGUCUGCCUUUGGCUCAGGGUGUGAUCCCAGAUCCUGGGAUCGAGUCCCACAUCAGGCU
rfam:Canis lupus familiaris chromosome 6, whole genome shotgun sequence.